rnacentral:rRNA from 1 species
GACAAACGCUGGCGGCGUGCCUAAAACAUGCAAGUCGAACGGACCCUUCGGGGUCAGUGGCGGACGGCUGAGUAACGCGUGGGUAACCUACCCGUGAGUGGGGAAGUAACCCUCCGAAAGGAGGGCUAAUACCGCAUACGACCACGAGUCUGCGGAUUCGUGAGGAAAGCCGCAAGGCGCUCGCGGAGGGGCCCGCGUCCGAUUAGCUAGUUGGUGAGGUAACGGCCCACCAAGGCUUCGACGGGUAGCUGGUCUGAGAGGACGAUCAGCCACACUGGCACUGCGACACGGGCCAGACUCCUACGGGAGGCAGCAGUAAGGAAUAUUGCGCAAUGGGCGAAAGCCUGACGCAGCGACGCCGCGUGGGGGAUGAA